GCUAUGGCUGCGCUGCGGACGCUUCUGCGGCCGCCGCCUCGGCUCCCGCCUCCGCCCUCGCCUCACCAUCCCUUCCCUGGGCCGUGCGGGCGGCCUGCGGGCACGGCCCCGGGCCCUCCCGGCCGGCCCUUCUUCUGCCGGAAGGAGGAGGAGGGGGCUGUGGCUGAGGCGGCUUGGAGGCGGCGGCGGCGCUGGGGGGAGCUGAGCAUCGCAGCCGCGGCCGGCGGGGGUCUGGUCGGCCUGGUGUGCUACCAGCUGUAUGGGGACCCCAGGGCCGACUCCGCGCGGGCGCCGGCCCCCUGGCUCCCCUCCAGGAGCGCGGCCGCAGAGCCGGAGGAACCGCCCCGCGGCCGGGGGCUGCUUCCCAUCCCGGUCGCCGCUGCCAAGGAGACGGUUGCUGUUGGCAGAGCAGACAUUGAAGACCUAGAUCUCUAUGCAACAUCUCGGGAAAAGCGAUUUCGUUUGUUUGCGUCUGUAGAAUGUGAAGGGCAGUUAUUCAUGACUCCAUAUGAUUUUAUUUUGGCUGUUACAACAGAUGAGCCCAAAUUUGCUAAAACAUGGAAGUCACUUUCCAAGCAGGAAUUAAAUCAAAUGCUAUCAGAAACACCACCAGUUUGGAAAGGAUCAUCAAAGCUAUUUCGAAAUCUUAAAGAAAGAGGUGUGAUUUCUUACACAGAAUAUCUUUUUCUUUUAUGUAUUUUAACAAAGCCACAUGCAGGUUUUAGAAUAGCUUUCAACAUGUUUGACACCGAUGGCAAUGAGAUGGUGGAUAAAAAGGAGUUUUUGGUGCUUCAGGAAAUAUUCAGGAAAAAAAAUGAAAAGAGAGAAACUAAAGGAGAUGAAGAAAAGCGUGCAAUGCUGCGUCUUCAACUUUAUGGAUACCAUUCUCCUACUAAUAGUGUACUUAAAACAGAUGCUGAGGAACUUGUCUCCAGAAGCUAUUGGGAUACCCUGAGACGUAAUACAAGCCAAGCACUCUUUUCAGACCUCGCAGAGCGUGCUGAUGACAUUACAAACUUAGUAACAGAUACUACACUUCUUGUACACUUUUUUGGAAAGAAAGGAAAAGCUGAGCUCAACUUUGAAGAUUUUUAUAGAUUCAUGGAUAACCUCCAAACAGAAGUUCUAGAAAUAGAAUUCCUUUCCUACUCUAAUGGGAUGAAUACUAUCAGUGAAGAAGAUUUUGCUCAUAUUCUUUUACGAUACACAAAUGUGGAAAAUACAUCAGUAUUUCUGGAAAAUGUGCGUUAUAGUAUACCUGAAGAAAAGGGCAUUACAUUUGAUGAAUUCAGGUCAUUUUUCCAGUUUUUGAACAACCUAGAAGACUUUGCAAUAGCCUUGAAUAUGUAUAAUUUUGCAAGUCGUUCUAUAGGGCAAGAUGAAUUUAAACGUGCCGUCUAUGUAGCCACUGGCCUCAGACUUUCACCACAUUUAGUGAACACAGUCUUUAAGAUUUUUGAUGUUGACAAAGAUGAUCAAUUAAGCUAUAAAGAAUUCAUUGGAAUUAUGAAAGACAGACUCCAUAGAGGAUUCCGGGGUUAUAAAACGGUUCAGAAGUAUCCCACUUUCAAAUCCUGUCUGAAGAAGGAACUUCAUAGCAGAUAAGUACUUCUAAAGCAAAGUUUAAAGGAUUAUUAUCUACUUGAAAAUGCAAGAAGCAAAAACUUCAGAGGGCGGAAGCAGGUCUGAGAUCAGAACUUGUGUAAAUGAAGGAAAAGAUCACUUGUCCACCUCCCACUGAUUGAACCAACCAGAAUCCAGAGUGGAAAGAGUCUUCCAAUAAAAGGACAAAAGAGUGUCUUGAACCAGAGCCAGUGUGAGUUUCUACAAACCACUGGGCAAGACAUAUUAAUUCCACCUCCUCCCAUAUCUGCCAUACAGAAAAUCCAGCAUGACUAAUCUAGCCUACAGCUUGACAGAAACAGAGCUGAAUA